rnacentral:rRNA from 1 species
CACGUAGGGUGCGAGCGUUGUCCGGAAUUAUUGGGCGUAAAGAGCUCGUAGGCGGUGUGUCGCGUCGGCCGUGAAAACCUGCAGCUUAACUGUGGGCGUGCGGUCGAUACGGGCAUCACUGGAGUUCGGCAGGGGAGACUGGAACUCCUGGUGUAGCGGUGAAAUGCGCAGAUAUCAGGAGGAACACCGGUGGCGAAGGCGGGUCUCUGGGCCGAUACUGACGCUGAGGAGCGAAAGCGUGGGUAGCAAACAGG